UACGUAGGGCGCAAGCGUUUGUCCGGAAUUAUUGGGCGUAAAGAGCUCGUAGGCGGCUUGUCACGUCGAUUGUGAAAGCCCCGAGGCUUAACCUCGGGUCUGCAGUCGAUACGGGCUAGCUAGAGUGUGGUAGGGGAGAUCGGAAUUCCUGGUGUAGCGGUGAAAUGCGCAGAUAUCAGGAGGAACACCGGUGGCGAAGGCGGAUCUCUGGGCCAUUACUGACGCUGAGGAGCGAAAGCGUGGGGAGCGAACAGG
rnacentral:rRNA from 1 species